rnacentral:rRNA from 1 species
UCCUUCGGGAGGCAGCAAUGCGGCACUUUUGCACAAUGAAGCCCAGCCCGGAUGCAGACAAUACUUCGUGUAGGAGGAAGGCCUUCGGGUUGUUAAACUCCCUUCAGCGGGGUGGACGCCGCAGAAGAUAAUACCCUCAUCUAUUGCCGUUACCCGCAGAAGAAGCACCGGGUAACUCCGUGCCAGCAGCGCGGUAAUGCGGAGGGUGCCAGCGUGGAUCGAAUUACUGGGCGUAAAGCGCACGCAGGCGGUCUGUCAAGUCGGAUGUGAAAUCCCCGCGCUCAACUUGGGAACUGCAGUCGAAACUGUCAGGCUAGAGUCUUGUAGAGGGGGGUAGAAUUCCAGGUGUAGCGGUGAAAUGCGUAGCCAUCUGGAGGAAUACCGGUGGCGAAGGCGGCCCCCUGGACAAAGACUGACGCUCAGGUGCGAUAGUGUGGGGAGCAAACAGGAUUAGAUACCCUGGUAGUCCACGCCGUAAACGAUGUCGACUUGGAGGUUGUGCCCUUGAGGCGUGGCUUCCGGAGCUAACGCGUUAAGUCGACCGCCUGGGGAGUACGGCCGCAAGGUUAAAACUCAAAUGAAUUGACGGGGGCCCGCACAAGCGGUGGAGCAUGUGGUUUAAUUCGAUGCAACGCGAAGAACCUUACCUACUCUUGACAUCCAGAGAACUUUCCAGAGAUGGAUUGGUGCCUUCGGGAACUCUGAGACAGGUGCUGCAUGGCUGUCGUCAGCUCGUGUUGUGAAAUGUUGGGUUAAGUCCCGCAACGAGCGCAACCCUUAUCCUUUGUUGCCAGCGGUUCGGCCGGGAACUCAAAGGAGACUGCCAGUGAUAAACUGGAGGAAGGUGGGGAUGACGUCAAGUCAUCAUGGCCCUUACGAGUAGGGCUACACACGUGCUACAAUGGCGCAUACAAAGAGAAGCGACCUCGCGAGAGCAAGCGGACCUCAUAAAGUGCGUCGUAGUCCGGAUUGGAGUCUGCAACUCGACUCCAUGAAGUCGGAAUCGCUAGUAAUCGUAGAUCAGAAUGCUACGGUGAAUACGUUCCCGGGCCUUGUACACACCGCCCGUCACACCAUGGGAGUGGGUUGCAAAAGAAGUAGGUAGGCCUUAACCUUCGGGAGGGC